GAUGAACGCUGGCGGCGUGCCUAAUACAUGCAAGUCGAGCGCAAAGAUCAGGAGCUUGCUCCUGUGAUUUGAGCGGCGGACGGGUGAGUAACACGUAGGCAACCUACCCUUGAGAUUGGGAUAACUACCGGAAACGGUAGCUAAUACCGGAUACGACCUUUCCACACAAGUGGAAUUGUUAAAAGGCGGAUUUAUCUGCCGCUCAUGGAUGGGCCUGCGGUGCAUUAGCUAGUUGGUGAGAUAGUAGCUCACCAAGGCGACGAUGCAUAGCCGACCUGAGAGGGUGAUCGGCCACACUGGGACUGAGACACGGCCCAGACUCCUACGGGAGGCAGCAGUAGGGAAUCUUCCGCAAUGGACGAAAGUCUGACGGAGCAACGCCGCGUGAGUGAUGAAGGGUUUCGGCUCGUAAAACUCUGUUGUUAAGGAAGAAUACUUGAGGUAGUAACUGGCCUUGAGAUGACGGUACUUAACCAGAAAGCCACGGCUAACUACGUGCCAGCAGCCGCGGUAAUACGUAGGUGGCAAGCGUUAUCCGGAAUUAUUGGGCGUAAAGCGCGCGUAGGCGGUAAAAUAAGUCUGAUGUGAAAGCCCCCGGCUCAACCGGGGAGGGUCAUUGGAAACUGUUUUACUUGAGUAC
rnacentral:rRNA from 1 species